rnacentral:rRNA from 1 species
UACGGAGGGUGCAAGCGUUGCUCGGAAUUAUUGGGCGUAAAGGGUAGGUAGGUGGUCUUAUUUGUCUGGGGUGAAAAGCCUUGAGCUUAACUCAAGAAGUGCCCCCAGAAACGGUGAGACUAGAGUCUUGGAGAGGGGUCUGGAAUUCCCGGUGUAGCGGUGAAAUGCGUAGAGAUCGGGAGGAACACCAGAGGCGAAGGCGGGCGCCUGGACAAGU